rnacentral:rRNA from 1 species
UACGAAGGGGGCUAGCGUUGUUCGGAAUUACUGGGCGUAAAGCGCACGUAGGCGGCUUUGUAAGUUAGAGGUGAAAGCCCGGGGCUCAACCUCGGAACGGCAUUCGAUACGGGACGGCUGGAGACCGGGAGAGGAGAGUGGAAUAGCCAGUGUAGAGGUGAAAUUCGUAGAUAUUGGCUGGAACACCGGUGGCGAAAGCGGCUCUCUGGCCCGGUUCUGACGCUGAGGCGCGAAAGCGUGGGGAGCAAACAGG